AUACGGAGGAUCCGAGCGUUAUCCGGAUUUAUUGGGUUUAAAGGGAGCGUAGGUGGAUUGUUAAGUCAGUUGUGAAAGUUUGCGGCUCAACCGUAAAAUUGCAGUUGAAACUGGCAGUCUUGAGUACAGUAGAGGUGGGUGGAAUUCGUGGGGUAGCGGUGAAAUGCUUAGAUAUCACGAAGAACUCCGAUUGCGAAGGCAGCUCACUAGACUGUUACUGACACUGAUGCUCGAAAGUGUGGGUAUCAAACAGGAUUAGAUACCCUGGUAGUCCACACAGUAAACGAUGAAUACUCGCUGUUUGCGAUAUACAGUAAGCGGCCAAGCGAAAGCAUUAAGUAUUCCACCUGGGGAGUACGCCGGCAACGGUGAAACUCAAAGGAAUUGACGGGG
rnacentral:rRNA from 1 species